AUUGAACGCUGGCGGCAGGCCUAACACAUGCAAGUCGAGCGGAGCGGCGGACGGGUGAGUAAUGUAUGGGGAUCUGCCCGCUCGCGGGGGAAAACGUACGGAAAAGGGCGCUAAUAUCGCAUACUAUCAGAUUAGCCUAGGUCGGAUUAGCUAGUUGGUUGGGUAAAGGCCUACCAGGGCGACGAUCCGUAACUGGUCUGAGAGGCUGAUCAGUCCCAGUGGAACUGAGCCACGAUCCAGACUCCUCCGGUAGGCAGCAGUGGGCGUUAUUGGACAAUGGGGGAAAGCCUGACCCAGCCAUGCCGCGGGUGUGAAGAAUGUCUUCGGAUUGUAAAGCACUUUACGUUGGGAGGAGUUACCAACAGAAUAAGCACCGGCAAACUUCGUGCCAGCAGCCGCGGUAAUAC
rnacentral:rRNA from 1 species